UACGGGGGGGGGCAAGCGUUGUUCGGAAUUACUGGGCGUAAAGGGUUCGUAGGCGGGCUGUCAAGUCUGGGGUGAAAUGCCGCGGCUCAACCGUGGAACUGCCUCAGAUACUGACGGCCUCGAGGGAGGUAGGGGCGUGCGGAACUGUAGGUGGAGCGGUGAAAUGCGUUGAUAUCUACAGGAACUCCGGUGGCGAAAGCGGCGCGCUGGACCUCUUCUGACGCUGAGGCGCGAAAGCUAGGGGA
rnacentral:rRNA from 1 species